GGAGAGGUGCCGGAGUGGUCGAACGGGGCGGUCUCGAAAACCGUUGAGCUCUUCGGAGUUCCCAGGGUUCGAAUCCCUGCCUCUCCGCCA
rnacentral:tRNA from 1 species